CACAGGCAGAGGGAGAAGCAGGCUCCAUGCACCGGGAGCCCGACGUGGGAUUCGAUCCCGGGUCUCCAGGAUCGCGCCCUGGGUCAAAGGCAGGCGCCAAACCGCUGCGCCACCCAGGGAUCCCCCAAGGAUAUCAUUCUAGGAAGACAUGAUGCCUGGAAUGGUAACAGAAGUCUUGAAAGCAUGGAAGAAUGAAAAAGGAAAUUCCAUGAGCAUCGGUCUUAACCUUUGACAUUGAUGAGUUGCUGAUCCAACCCGAGAACUGCUAAUCUCUGAACAUCUUGCUUUGUCACUUUUAUUAAUAAAACUGAAUUGUUUGAGUUA